rnacentral:lncRNA from 1 species
UCAAAACCCAGCAGCCCACAGUGAUCCCCACAACCCACGGAGGGUGCCUGGCUAUUUCUGGAAUGAAGGACAUGGAAAGCGGGACAAGUUCUGUUUUUGCAGACUCUGCCUUUCUCUCCCUGUACCCUGGAAAGGAGGAAUGACAAUGUGA